AUUCACUAUGGCUACUCACCAUGGCUUUCUCACUACUGAUUCGCUCACCUCUGAGAAGAUCGGAUUUUCUAUUCAAUCCGAUUCAAAAUCCGAUCCUGUCAAAAAUUUGACAUUUUUUGGCCAAUUUUUAGGGGGUCCCAUUGUCAUUUGGGUACCCAAAUGACAAUCGGACAGCAUCUCACUAUAGCGAGCCCGAUGUCAGCUUGACGUUUCCAUACUGAGACGCUGUCUUCGGCUGCCCCCUCCAUACUGAGCGAGCAUUGUCUUUCUCAUCGGCAUGGUGAGCAUUCUGGCUAGCGCCAAAUUUUCUCAUGAGACGAUCUGGCGCGUCCCGUCGAUUCGAUGAGAUGCCUUACCACAUGAUAGUGAGGGCGGAUUUUGGAUCGGCUGCCGAUCUUGCUUAUAUGAGUUGAACGGUCUGCCGUAUGGUGAGGGCUCCGUGUGUGGCUGUGUGAUGUAUGUGUGCAUAUGUGAUGAUUCGCGAGACGGCAUAAAGUGUUUUGUUUGGAAGAAGGUUUCGUGCUGAAAUUUAAAAUUAGUGCGAUUUCCUGUGCAAUAUACCGGUUUUGUGGCAAUUACAGUGUUUAUUUAGUUCAUUUUACUGCAGUGCAAGUUUUUUGCAAGAUAUAUCCGUGAUAAGCCGAACGUAUAAAGAAGGAAGAAAGCAGUGAGACAACAGGGUGACAGCAAAAUGCAAUAGCUGGAUAAACCAGAUAAGUAUAAGAAAUUAUCAUUUAAAACAGUGGAAGAUGUUCGGAACAGGAAUUGUUAAAAGAUUAAUUAGUUAUGCUUUAUCGUCCUAAUGUUUCAGAUUCUUCUACAGCGGAUAUUUGAUGGCAAAAAGCGAGUGAAAAAAGAAUGCAACUAUGGACGGACGGCAUAAACCAACUCGAUUAAACUACUAUACAUACACGUCGUUAUUGUUGUGCCAACAAUUAUAAGGGAAAUUAUACUGUGAAGCGUAUGCUGCACAAAAUUGUCCCGGUCUGCCAACCAUUUCCUCGCGCCCUUCUGAUUCGAUUCCUCAUAAUCAGACUGUGCAAUUUUAAAAUGACGAGACGCACGAAGACACGACUGACAAGAUGAUUCAUGUACGACGACCGACAGCAGCGGACACGCUACUACAAUCUGGCGACGAGGAUUUUGGAAUUUAACGCAGAAAACAAGGAAAAAAGAUGCAAGAAAUGCGACCAGUACCAAUGUUGCUGUGCGAUAAAAUCGAAACUGCUAAACUCGCAACAGAAUGGAAAAUUUGGAAGGAAGCGUUGGAAUGCUACUUUGCAGCGUACAACGUAACGGACCAAACGGAGAAAAAAGCAAAACUACUACAUCUCGGAGGACCGGCACUACCGAGAGUGUUUAAAAAUUUAAAAGAUCAUGAUCAUGUGUCUUUGGUUAUGUUGGAACCGCGCUGGUAUGACCAGGCAGUUGAAAAACUGGAUGAGUUUUUCGGACCGCAGUAUCAAGCUACAACGGAGAGACGCAACCUGCGAAUGAUGAAACAAAAAC